CCCGGGCCUUGUACACACCGCCCGUCACACCAUGGGAGUCAAUUGCUCCAGAAGUCGGCUCACCAAGAGUCGCCCAAGGAGUGAUUGGUAACUGGGGUG
rnacentral:rRNA from 1 species